UGGGGGAUAUUGCACAAUGGGCGAAAGCCUGAUGCAGCGACGCCGCGUGGGGGAUGAAGGCCUUCGGGUUGUAAACUUCUUUUGCUCUGAACAAGGCGCACCAUGGGGUGUGUUGAGUGUAGGGGUUGAUUAGCGCCGGCUAACUACGUGCCAGCAGCCGCGGUAAUACGUAGGGCGCGAGCGUUGUCCGGAAUUAUUGGGCGUAAAGGGCUUGUAGGUGGCUGGUUGGGUCUGUCGUGAAAGCUCAUGGCUUAACUGUGGGUUUGCGGUGGGUACGGGCUGGCUUGAGUGCAGUAGGGGAGGCUGGAAUUCCUGGUGUAGCGGUGGAAUGCGCAGAUAUCAGGAGGAAUACCGGUGGCGAAGGCGGGUCUCUGGGCUGUUACUGACACUGAGGAGCGAAAGCAUGGGGAGCGAACAGG
rnacentral:rRNA from 1 species